AUAUACUAUUAGUCUAUAUUCACAAAGAGUAUAAGUACGUUGGUUGUGAAGGAGGCUAAUCAAGUUCAUGCUCAGAGUAAUAAACUGGGUGUGGCCAUGAUAAUGUAACCGUAGCAGUGAGUUGACAGCUCUAGAUUCUAUUUUUCAGGCUUGUCAUCAAGUCCAGGGGGGUGCUCAAGCCCCCAAAGCGCCCCACUGGAUCCGCCACUGACAUUAAUUGACCUCUUAGAUUACUUUACCUGCAUAAAAGUCUGCUUGGUAAGAGAUGUACAGUUAUGUUCCAGUAAGACUACUGGGAAAACCUGUUCAGCUCUAUAAGGACAGUUAAGAAUUACAUGAAUAAUGUCAUUGUGUACACAGAGGCAGACCAUUUCCCAUGGGCCAUGCAGCAUUACUAAGCAUACAAAAGUACAUGGAAAAUAUACUGCAGCUGGUCUAACAUGUAUAUCACAUGUUAAAAACGAAUUUUUGGGGUAAGUUUGUGGACAGGAAAUAGCGGGUGAGUGUAAAAGCUGGAAUGCGGAAUGGAAUGGAAUGGAAUAUGGAACGGAAUAUGGAAAGGCAAACUUAGUAAUAAAAAGAGAGCUGCUGAUGGUGCUCUGUAUUUUUUUUAGUGUAGUAUGACUUAAAUACUUGUAAAAAGUGUUACAUUAUAAACACACAGUUAAUUUUAGAAGACUGUUAGAUUCUAAUUGAAUUUCUGGGAUAUAACAUACAAAUUACAUGCAUAUACACAUUGUACAGUGUCUAGCCUUAGCCAAGUAUAAUUAUGCUGUGCCUAAAUUAAACAAGUAAAGUGUUGAAUAUAUACCUGCAAAGUUUUGGCCCUUGGUGAAACUUUAAACAAUUUGUGCGUAUUGAAGAGACAAUACUGACCAAGCCUUUUGCCACAAUUAUUAGGUUGUAAAGUCAGCAAAAUUCCACAUUUAUAUACUCUCAGCAAAGAAACUGCCACUAUGCAAUUGCGCAACAGUGUGUGCAAGUUGUUGAUCCUCUUUUCAAUAAACAGGGUGUCAUGUGAUGAUUCAGCCAGCUGCAUGCUAUCUCUUGGAUUAAUUGAGCAUGCAUGUGAUUUGCAAUGGAUAUUCAAAUACAUGUAUAUAGAGUAGAGUUUAAGCAAAAUGAUACCAAGAUGAUCUAGCGCUUUGAGAAUAAUUUCUCCAUAUAAAAGAUGGUCAGUGUGUCUCUUCAACACGCAUGCACAAAUUGUUUAAAGUUUCACCAAGGGUCAAAACGUUGCAGGCAUGCAGAUAGAAGAAAGGUAUAGCUCUGUAGCUGAUACACUUCACACUUCGCCUUGUUUUGGGUAUACAGCAUAAUUACCAUGCAAAGGGUAGACACGGAUCUUUUUAAUGUUGCUAGCUACUGAGUAGUCUACUCCUCUGGCUCAUAAAAAUUAAUUUAUAAAAGUAGCUGUGUCUAUAAAAGGCUUCUGUAACACUAUUUAAGUCAGCAGCUCCCUUUUUAUUACUAAAUUUGUCAUUCCAUAUUCCAUUCCAUUCCACACUCCAGCUUGAAGCAAAGGCUUGAAGUAUCCAUGGCCAAUCAAGUAAGUAUCAACCCACCAGAGGGCCACAAAUAUAACUAUACUGUUCCACUCCAUAAAAAGCUCACGCAGGACUUGAGUGAACAUACCAUGCAUGUGGAUUACCCUGCAGUAGAGCAGACUGAACCAAGAAUAUUUCUUUUCUAAUAUAAGUAAUAUGACAUUGUAUGAUUGAGGAAUAAGCCACCAGAAACUCUUACUACUCAGUAUAGAGGGGGGUGUUCAUGUGAACCUUAUCCAAAGCCUCAUUGAGAACGGCAUCUGCAGUGGUUGCAUGCACUGGGACUAUCACAGCAGCUAGAGUCAGCAAGCAAUCAAAGCCGCAUUUCUCUAUUAUAGUCGAUAUUGCAAGUUCAGCUUUUGCUCGCUUUUACUAGACAACAAAGCUUUAACAUCAAAAUCUUACUUUUUGAGAAGCUAUAGCUAUAUUCAUGCUGUAAUAUGAUUAAUUUUAUCCUAGCAGCUGCAUGGCUAUCAUCGUUUUGCAAGUUAGAAAUAUCCUCUUCAUGCAUGCAGAUCUAAUAGCAAUAUCAUAAUUAAUUUUGAUUGACAACCACAGAUUACCACCCAUAGCCAUGUUUGCAGACCUCUUUCCCAGUAUUUCUCUGCUAUUUGCUUCUGCAUGUUACAUAACUUCUGUGUACUAACUAUAAUUUAAAGGUGUUAAAUGCAUGCCACUGCAUGUAUGGAUGCCUGCAUGUUCUUGUGUUAAUUACCACAGACUGAGGCCAUGCAUGCAUGCAGCAUUUCUCGGUUAAUUGGCUCUAUAGAUCUAACUGUCAGUGCAUGUAGAUCUAGGCUUGCAGAGAGUCCUAUUGUUGGUGUGUACUGGCGGUAUGUUGGUGUGAACCUUAUCCAAAGCUGAGGUAUUGAGAGCGGCAUCUGCAGUGGUUGCACUGGGACUGUCACAGCAGAGUCAGCAAGCAAUCAAAGCCGCGUUUCUCUAUUAUAGUCGAUAUAUAUUGCAAGUUCAGCUUGUGCUCGCUUUUACUAGACAACAAAGCUUUAACAUCAAUUUGAGAAGCUAUAUUAUAUAUAUAGCUAUAUUCAUACUGUAAUCCUAUAACGAUGACAAAACGAUGAUAGCCAUGCAGUUAGGGUUAGGGUUAGCCUAGCCUCCUUCACAAGGCCUAAACAAUCGAGGAAGAGCGGCCUGGGAUCGAGGCUAGGGUUAGCCUAACCCUAACCUUAACCCUAACCCAUAGCAGCUGCAUGGCUGUCAUUGUUUUGCAAGUUAGAAAUACCCACAAGCAUGCAUGCAAUAUCAUAAUUUUGAUUGACAACCACAGAUUACCACCAUAGCCAUGUUUGCAGACCUCUUUCCCAGUAUUUCUCUGCUAUUUGCUUCUGCAUGUUACAUAACUUUUAUGUACUAACCAUAAUUUAUUAAAAGGUGUUCAUUCAUAAUUAUGUGCAUCAUUGGUCUCAUAUUAGGUGCUGUUGUUGUGGUCAUCAGUAUAAGACCACAUACCAGGCAUACCCAAGUUCUGUGAGCUCAGUACCUGCAUGGGGUAUGGAAACCUCUAUAAUGAUGCAUGUUGAUUGACAAGCAUGACCACUGCAUGUAUGGAUGCAUGUUCUUGUUAAUUAGGCCAUACAUGCAGCAUUUCUCGGUUAAUUGGCUCCUGUUUACUAACUAUCUGUGCAUGUAUAGAUCUAGGCAUGCACGAGAGUCCUAUGCAUGCAUGUGUUUGCAAAACCGCCGACACGCAUUAUACAUCUAGCGGGUAAUUUUCGUUCAUUUAAAUUUUUGUAUAGACUAUACCCAUUUGAAUAUUUCGUAUUUUAAAUAUUCGUACAGCUUAGGAUAGUAACGUUAAAUCUAUUACGGUAAAAUAAUUUUAAUUUUCGUAUAAAUAAUGCUCUUCAAUAAGUUAUACCAAGCAUACAGAUAGCUACAAUGUCACCAUGAUAAUAAUGCUGCAGUAUCACUAUAAUUAUAGAAUUUAUGGCAAACGUAAACCAUCCUUGGCCUCGGGCUUCGCCCUCGUCCUCGGAGGUUUACUGCCAUAAAUUCUGAUGUAUAUAGUGGAAUAAGUAUAUAAUAGGGUGCACGGGUACAUUACUUUAUGCUGCAUGGAAAAUUUGAGUAUAAUGGGCAUGCAUUCUUUGUUCGACAACUACCAAAUCAUGAUGUCUUACAGUACAUGCUGAGAUCUGAUCUAUAUAAUUAUGAUUUUAAAGCAUGGCUCAGAUGAAUUAUUUUGUAUCAAAAUAAUGAUUAUCAAUUUAAUCAUGGGUGAAAUCACUAGCAUAAUGGCAAAAGCAUAAUCAUAAUGGGUACUACUCUAGAUCUAUAGUUUCCUUAAAUUCUUUGAGCAUAUAUUUAUUAUUGAGCAUAAUAAUUGUGUAGAGAAUUGGAAAAAAGCAUGAUGUAUAUAAUUAUAUAUACCCACCCCUAACAUUACUCUUGCAAGAAGGUGUGAAAACACUGUGAAACACAUGCAGGAUGCGACUUCAAGACAUGUUGUAGGCCUUGUGGUAACAACUGGGGUGCUCAAGUACGUGUGUAUAGCUUUAAAUUUAUAUAAUGAUGGUUGCGGUUCAUUAGCUUAUGGAGGGAGUGAAUUCAAGCAAGUUAUGUAUACUACAAAAUGAACUCGUAUAACUGGGUCUUAUACCACACUUACAUCACCACUAAUUGAUCUCAUUGGUCAACAGCUGUAGGAUAUAUAGCAUACAACAGCCCCAAGCAUGCACAGUUUUUCAAGUUGUUUUUUAGUUUUUUCAUUUGUUCAAGAAAGUAAGCAAAGAGAAAAGAGCCAUGCUUGACGGUACUAAGACUCAAAGCGACGGCAGAAACACGGAAGGUGCUCUCCAACAAGAUGCUAAGCUUAGCUUCCAUGGGUCCAUGGGCGCGGUUUAGAUACAUUUUAUCCAAGAAGAGCUUGCAACUCCAGUAAGGGACGUCGAAUGGUCAACGCUUGGACCAAGGAAGCUCUUGAGCAUCUGUAGGAGUCAACAUGUUGCUCAACUAGCUCUUUGACGGCUGCAAAAUCCGGCAUAGUCUUGUUCUUUUUUGCAGUCUGCAUCGUGAUUGAAUUGUUGCUAGGGGGAGGUCCUUUUAUAGUGCUGCGGUCACGUGGUAUAAGUUAGAUAUGCCACACCUACUCGGAGGAUAUGCACCCUAUAUAUCCUCCGCUACCGUGGUUACACACCCCUCGGUUCCGCCUAGACUCGCAAGCCACUCCCUUUUCUCUGAUUGGACGGGGGCGGGAGAAAAGGGACUGGUGACUCUGGGACACAUUUUGUGUCUCUACCAGAAUUUGGGUAGAGAUUAUUCAUUGAUUUUUCCACGUGAUCCAAAAAUUGCGUGAAGUUAAGUAGAAUUGCGUAGCCGCAAAAGUGAUCGCGGGCUUCUUAGCUACAGUUUAAGAAUGGAUGCUAGUGCUAGAAAAGAGAAGAUGAUGGAGUAAUAACAUCAUCAGGCAUUCAGCUAGGAUAUAGUCAUCUAAGACACCAGCAGAGAUUAGCUUGUUUUAGUUUUACGUGAUGAGAACUGGCAGCCGAAAGUCAUUGGUUGCCUAAAGCUUUUAAUAACCUGUACAAUACAAGACAGAUAAUGGCAGACGGCAGCAGUUGAAUUGAGAGUAGUCAGACUUGUACAAGCUGUCUUAAAUCGCUGCCACUCCUCGGUUCAAAGAAGGACUGCCAAGAUUUCUACGUUCAUCAGCUGUUCCAUGCUAAUCCACAAGUUGUGGCACAACAGACACUGGUACAAGGAUCUAUAAAAUCAAAAGGCUGGCUAGAUAGAUCUGUAUACUUGUCUUCUGUGUGUCUUUAGCUUUUGACGCAUCAGAAUAAAUUGGAUAAUUUGCACCUGACAUUAAUAUUUAAUAGCAUUCCUGAUUUACACAAGCUGUAGCCCAGAGUCACCAGUCCCUUUUCUCCCGCCCCCGUCCAAUCAGAGAAAAGGGAGUGGCUUGCGAGUCUAGGUUCCGCCUCGGAGUAACCACGGUAGCGGAGGAUAUAUGGGUGUAUAUCCUCCUCUUAGGUGUGGUAUAUCCUAUACUUGGUAGAUUAUGCUAGCAUAUGAUAAUCUUUAGCAUAAUAGGCAUCUUAUUCAAGUUGUGUGAGCUGGCAUAAAUGCAUGGGUACCUUUAUUCAGUACGAGAAUAAUAGGCAGGCUUUGGAAAAACAAUUGUAUAGGCCUUAUGCUUUAACAUGCAAUUAUGUGUAAUUUCUCAUAAUGUAUUUAUAAUUUAUCUCCUUAUAGCACGGCAUGAUAUUUUAGGUUAGAUCUAUAGUGUUUAACGAAGUCAUGCAUUAUUGGCCAUUAUAAAGUUUGUGAUGUUACUUGUAUGACAUCAAUAGUGUGGUUCACGUUGAGCUUGUGGUUUAUCCUGCAUGGGAAUAAUAGGCAAUCUGAAAUCAAUAUUUUGAGCAUAGACUCUCAAAUAAUUGACUUCAGAAACACCUCAUAAUCAUACUGCUGUAUUAUUAUUAUUCAUUAUAAUAGAGCUACAUUAAAAACUGUAAGCACUGUGCACUGCAUGCAGGUCCUGUGACAUUGAUCUGAUAUGCGCAAUGUGUCAUUAUUAUUAUGGUGAGUCAUGUGCUUCUUAGUAACUGCUAAAUGUUUUGCCAUUGGAAUGUGCAAAUAGAAUUAACUAGGUCAAUUAACACUUCAUGAUAACCUUUUCUUGGAUACAGAUCACAUUACAUUCUCUAAAAGUAUAUAGAUGCCAUACAGUUAAAAUGACUCUGCGUGCAUACUGCAUGUACCAAGGUCAACAUGCCUACUGCAUGUACCAAGGUCAACAUGCAGGCUAUAUAAAUGAGCUAAAAACAGAGAGUAGCAUAUGCAAUUUGUAAGCAGCCAAGGAACCAAUUUGAAAAAUGAAGAUCUUCGCUUUCCUCCUGGUGUCAGUGGCUUUGUGCUCACAACAAAUGGUGAAUGGAUCAUCUGCGAAAAAUGUGCUGAAGGCGGUUCAGAGGAGCCGAAACAACAAAGAAGCCCUAGCACAAGCGUUGAUACUGCAAGCUUUAAAAGAUUCGUCCAAUGCAGUGAAAGAAUCAAGAAUUACCUAUGAAGACAGAGGUAGAGCCCGCAUUAGUCAAGUAGCAUCUUUCCUAACUAUCCAGGACUGUGGAACUGCUGGAAAUAUUGUAAAUACUGUAUUGCAGGCGUCACUAGGCUGGAUUCCUAACAUUGCAAACGCUGUAAACGUUUUGGUCAACUGUGGAAUAUCGUCAGGCUGCACACAAGUGAGAGUCGAUGUACCAGCAGGCAAUACCGUGGCUGAUAUUGAUGUUUGCACUGUUAGCGGUGGCGGUUUUUGUGUGGAGGUAUAUGCAGGUGCAUCGUGUGCAGUUGGUGGAAUACCAAUCCCAAUUCCUGUCCUCAUUAACGUCCCCAUAACUUCAACUGGAACAACUGCUCCAAUCACACUGACCGUUAGCCUAAAUCUACUUGAUUUAAACAGUCCUCCAUGUGUGAUGAUUAACGUGGGAAAUGAUCCAAUAUGUUCAAACAACUAAAAAAGCAAAGAACAUGCGUACUGUUGUAGACAAACAAUUAGGUAGCUAUAGCUGCUGUAUUGAGUGACUGGGAAAUCUAGCGUAUCCCAUAAAAAAGUAGAGUAUAUCUGUUUUGUGGUACAAUUUCUUAAUUUUGAGUUGACUAUUAUAGAUAUCUAUGACUAUAUAUACUGCAUGUAUAAUGUAUGUAAAAUUUCUCGGGACAGGCAGUAUUUAGGUAUAUAUGUACAGAAUGAGCUUAGUAUUGUGGCAAGAGAUCUGAUGCACAGCAGUUUGAGCUAUAGCUAUAUAGCAAGCGACGAGCAAGUUGGACAGAUACAAUAGAGAUCACAGAAAUAACAUGGCACAGAUAAGGAACAGAGAGGCACAUGCAGGGCCUCUUUACAAAACAGUAUUGUCUACUAACACAAAGUACAA